GGUGGGGUUCCCGAGCGGCCAAAGGGAGCAGACUGUAAAUCUGCCGUCAUCGACUUCGAAGGUUCGAAUCCUUCCCCCCAUCGACUUCGAAGGUUCGAAUCCUUCCCCCACCACCA
rnacentral:tRNA from 1 species